CUCACUCAGGUAAAAGUUCCUUCUUAUUCAGCUGUACUCUAACUUCAAGACUAUUUUCCAGUUGAAUCCAGGAACUGUAUUCUUCCUGGAAUAUAAUUUCUUCAAAAUGGAAACAGGAAGGAGUGCAGAAAACUCUUGGGGAGGAUAUCAAGCUGCAGGCGACAACUAUGGGCA